rnacentral:lncRNA from 1 species
GUGCACACAAGAGGGUGGGGAGGGGCACACAGAGAGAGAGCAUCUCAAGCAGACUCCACAUCUACUGGGAGCCCACCAUGGGGGUUGAUCUCACGACUGAGAUCAUGACUUGAGCUGAAACCAAGAGUUGGACGCUUAACCAACUGAGCCACCCAGGUGCCCCUAAAGAGUUUCUUUUUAAGUACUCUCUCCUCCCAGCGUGGGGCUCGAACUUAACCAUCUGGAGAUCAAGAGUUAUGUGCUCCACCAACUGAGCCAGCCCGGUGCCCCUGUGCUCUCUCGUUUUCUAAACUUCAAAAUAACCUCCUUCCUGGGCUCGGCAAAAUCCUGGGCUAGCUCAGCAAUGUAUAACCAAACGACAACCGUCUCUCUAAAAGCAGGAAGCUUUUAUUGCAGCUGGGGAGAGGCUGCCUGGGAGUCAGGAGACGUGAGGGAAUUCCACGCCUGGUCCUGCCGCCGCUCUGCUGGGUGAGUCCCUGUGUUUUUCUGGUCUCGGUUUCCUCAUCUAUUACACGCUAGAGUUGGAAUGUGGCAGCAUUUACAGUGCCUGCCAGCUCUGAAAAGAUUCUACGAAAUGGCAGGGCAGUGAAACGGUUCUCAGGCUCUUCUGCUGAGACUUCUUGGUUCCUCUUGUUUGACAGCCUCUAAACUUUAAUUUUCUUCCCCUUUCCCGUGACCUGCAUGCCCAACGGAGACACCUCAGUAUCCCCUCUACUGUCACGGCCAGGAAGAUGCCCCGCGGUUUCUGCGGACUCUCUGCCAGAGAUUCAAGGGCAGGGAAUACAGACCCCACCUCUCAAAGGGAGGAGUGUCAACAUCGCUUUGUAAGUAGAGAAUGUCUGAUGGGAAAUAUCAUUCUGGCCAUCUUUGGAAAAGGC